UACGGAGGAUGCGAGCGUUAUCCGGAUUUAUUGGGUUUAAAGGGUGCGCAGGCGGCGUGUCAAGUCAGCGGUAAAAUGUCGGGGCUCAACCCCGGCCGGCCGUUGAAACUGGCGUGCUCGAGUUGGAGAGAAGUAUGCGGAAUUCGUGGUGUAGCGGCGAAAUGCAUAGAUAUCACGAAGAACCCCGAUUGCGAAGGCAGCAUACCGGCUCCACACUGACGCUGAGGCACGAAAGCGUGGGUAUCGAACAGG
rnacentral:rRNA from 1 species